UUAAAGUUAUUGCUAUAUUUAUCAGCUCAUAACAUCACCACCAUGCACAAUUCUGUGAUUUAGAUAUAAUACAAAUAUUUCAAAAUAUCAGAUCUGAAAAAAUGCUUUCCAUUUUUAUUACAGGCCUAUUCAAUAAAAUAUAUACCUUUGGUAUAAUAUGUUUUAUUGCAUAUAGCAAGCCAUUUUCAUUAUCAUCAAAAAUAUACUUUAGCACUUGUGAAUUACAGGGGACUAAUUCCUCAGAAAACCCACAAUUUUGAAUCAGCUCAUAAAUACAUAGACAUGAUAAGCAUAUACAUUUUCUGUUGUCAAUGGCAAGUGAAAAAUAUUUGAGAAUUCUAAAUUUACUGAUGAUUAAGAUAACUGUCUUUAUGCUAAUUUAUUAGAAGCAUCGUAAGUCAUCAUUUUCAUUGAAAAUACACUUUAAAUAAGGCAAGUUUGUAAGAGUUUGAAUAGUGUUUUUUCUUACAUGAAGAAUUUAUUUUCUUAUACGGUGGUCAUGCCUCCCUCCCUAUUCUGAAAUCAGUACACACAAAGCAACAAAACAGAGCAAAGCAUCCUCUGAGGAUGAAAUCACAGUGAAAAAAACCUGUGAUGUAAUUUAUGCUGUUAAUCAUGUUGUAUCAUAGUGCAUCAUAUGAUGAUACCACAAUAGAAGAGAGCUGGUUAUUUACACAGUGGUUCUGACUGGCAAAUGUAAACAAAGAUGAGUCAAGCACCUCGGCAAUGCUUUGACUGGCUAGUUAAUCUGCAGGAUUUAAAGAUGUUCAUUAGUUCCAGCUUGACAUAACCAAGUGAGAACAUGAGGCACCUAUGUUUAAGGAAAGAAGCUGGUCAUUGACGAAAUGUCAGUGGUGUUUUCAAGUAAAUAUGAAUGUGUUCUCUUUAGUUCAUUGCUAAUACUAAGUCAAAUGUACACUAAUCUAUGAUCCAAGAAAGAGGAGAUGCUGUUAGAUUUCUAGACAGUUUAAGGAAUUAUAUAGAGUGGCUGUUGGCUUCUAAGACAUAUAAAUUGAAGAAAAUCUCCAGUACAGAAAGUAAUUAUUCAAAUAAAUUGCUUAGAUAAGUCUGCUUUUCAAUAUAGAAAACUUCUACAGGCCAUUCAGAAACUCUUAGUACAGUUGAAGUGACUGGAAUUGGCUUGGAAAAGCUCAAGUGUAAUUGAACAUUGGUACAGGUAUGAACACUUGAGUACUAAAAGGUAUGACAUUUGCAGUAUCUUUCCAGAUUUAAAUAUUCCUUCUCUGUAAGGUCAGCUUGAAGGUGAAUCCUAUUGUCUUCCUCCAUCAGAGGACUUCUUUAUCAACAGAGAUGCAUUGUUGCAGGAGACAUGCUGUCUAGGUAUACUUUCUCAUUUCACAGUGUACUUUCUCUCAAUGAAAAGGCACCUGCUGUCUGUGGAAAGUCCACAUAACAGGUCCUGUCCUGAGAGUCAUGUAUUUCUCCUUCUAGCAGCAUCAUAAGUAGCAUUUUCUCUUUAUUAUUUAGGUGUGUUUAAUUGUUCUAGGUGAGUAUUAUUUUUAUUACUGUGGUAAACAAUGAUUAUUUUGAAAAGCUUAUCUAUGAGAGAUUACAAAAUAACCUAUAAAUCUUAUACUAUGCCCAGGAGAUUGAGUUGAGAAAGAUGGCACAUGUUCAUUCUGUAAAUAUUUGUAAUUUCCCAGGGUGUAAUGAGAUUAUGACUCAACUAACCAGACAAAAUGCCAUCCUUACCCACUGUCACUUUUAAAAGCAUAAGUCUUCUUGCAAAGGCUCAGAAAUUCCGUACCGCAUAGAAGUGAGAAAUACUGGUUCUUCCUUGCUUAUGUUUCUAGGAAGUGUCUCUCCAGAACCUCUUUUGGGGAACUUUUCCAAUUUUGUGAAUUACUAUGUCUUCAGAAACAAGUGGUGUUUUGUAUUUUUCUCCACCUCUCCCGAAUGGCUUGAGAAGAUGAAUCAUAUCACUUUUCUUUCUUUCCAGUUUAUCCUCCCUUCACUGUAGCUUUGAUAAUAAUGACUCAGUUACAUUUCUUCUCCUAAAAUCUAUUUUGAAUUUGAGAAUCAGUUGGGAAUGCCAUUACUAGCAGGUCUGGUAGGGUUUCAUGUAAAUAAUUCUCAGAGCAUAUUUCCUAAAAUACGAUCAGAUUUCACCUUCCAAAAUAAGUUGUCAGAUAUUUUUGAAUUGGGAUCAUAACUUGGCCAAAAGACGCAGGCAGAGAGUGGUGGGAAUAGUUUUGUGGCUUCUUUCAUUGAGCCAGGUAAUAUGUAUAUUUCCGUUUCAUUCUAUCUCUAAUUCGUUAUCUCCAUUUGAGAGGAG
ensembl:lncRNA